CGACCUCAGAUCAGGCGGGACUACCCGCCGGAUUUAAGCAUAUUAAUAAGCGGAGGAAAAGAAAACAACCGUGAUUCUCUUAGUAGCGGCGAGCGAACCGGGAAAAGCCCAUCGCCGAAUCUCGCCGCGCACUUUUGUGUCGCGGCACGUAUGAGAGUUGUGGCGUACGGGCCGGGCCUCGUUGCCGGGGCGCACGUGACGGUCCAAGUCUCCCUUGAACGGGGCCAUGGCCCCGCAGAUGGUGCCAGGCCAGUAGAGGCCGUCACAGCGUUCCGGGAUCGGACCGCGCCUUCGAGUCGGGUUGCUUGAGAGUGCAGCCCGAAGCGGGUGGUAAACUCCAUCUAAGGCUAAAUACGGCCACCGAGACCGAUAGUUUACAGUACCGUUGAGGG
rnacentral:ncRNA from 1 species